CGGCCGCGGGAAUUCGAUUAGAGUUUGAUCAUGGCUCAGAACGAACGUUGGCGGCGUGGAUUAGGCAUGCAAGUCGAACGAAUGUCAGUCUUGUAGCAAUACCGGGCUGGCGGAAGUGGCGAAAGGGGCAGUAAUGCGUGGGUAACGUACCCUCUGGACCGGGAUAGCCACGGGAAACCGUGGGUAAUACCGGGAGAAGUAGCGGAGUCGCAUGGCUCUGUUACCAAACGGUCCGCCGCCGGGGGAGCGGCCCACGUGGUAUUAGCUUGUUGGUGAGGUAAUGGCUCACCAAGGCUUAGAUGCCUAGCGGGUGUGAGAGCACGACCCGCGCCACUGGCACUGAGACACUGGCCAGACACCUACGGGUGGCUGCAGUCGAGGAUCUUCGGCAAUGGGCGCAAGCCUGACCGAGCGACGCCGCGUGUGCGAUGAAGGCCUUCGGGUUGUAAAGCACUGUCGAGGGGGAGGAAAGCCGCAAGGUCUGACCUAUCCCUGGAGGAAGCACGGGCUAAGUUCGUGCCAGCAGCCGCGGUAAUACGAAUCACUAGUGAAUUCGCGGCCGCCUGCAGGUCG
rnacentral:rRNA from 1 species